GCUCACUCAACCAAGAAUAUAGAGAAAGAGCUUCUGCCCUGAGACUCAGACAAAUAUUCUCCUCUGCUUCUGUUCAGUAUAGAUUUCUAGACCCUGAUCAUUGCUUAAGAGAUAUUCACUGGUGGUCCUACGUCUCUGCAAUUUGUGUAUGAAUAACAGAAUAAUUUCCCUCUUUUGUUUCGCCUUUCCUGUUCCUGAAUCUAAAUAAAGAUGGCUUUUUAGUAUUAAAAGUGGAAGAAAAUUACAGGUAAUUAUCUUUGACGGUAAAAACGCUGUAAUCAGCGGGCUACAUGAAAAAUUACUCUAAUUAUGGCUGCAUUUAAGAGAAUGGAAAAAAACCUUCUUGUGGAUAAAAACCUUAAAUUGUCCCCAAUGUCUGCUUCAAAUUGGAUGGCACUGCAGCUGGAGGCUUUGUUCAGAAUUGAUCCUGGGGAGCUACGAACCCAAAGUUUCACAGUAGGAAGGGGGAAAAAAGAAAAGAAAACAUUUUUCCUAAUGUAACAAUGCGAAUGCUAGAAAAUGACAAGACUGAUCGGUUUUAAACCAUUCUGAGACUGACUGAGCGUGGAAGUUGCUCAACAAAAAAAGGAACGGGUAUAUUGGAACCUCUUUGGAGGAGCAUGACCUUUUCCUACAUUGCUUCCCACCACUGCCACUGAACUUCCUGUAUCCUGGCCCAAGACACCAUCACCAAGAAGACCUUCCAGAUGGGCCACUUAUCCCCUGAGAGAGGAGGAACAUCAACUGCAGUUUCCAACUAGAUUGCCUUCUUCACGUCAAGUAAUGGCUGCCAUCAGGAUCCAGUUAAAGACAGAACAGCUGGACAGCUGC